CCUACGGGAGGCAGCAGUGAGGAAUAUUGGUCAAUGGACGAAAGCCUGAACCAGCCAAGUAGCGUGCAGGAUGACUGCCCUAUGGGUUGUAAACUGCUUUUAUAUGGGAAUAACACACCGUAUGCGUAGCGUCUUGUAUGUACCGUAUGAAUAAGGAUCGACUAAUUCCGUGCCAGCAGCCGCGGUAAUACGGAGGGUCCGAGCGUUAUCCGGAUUUAUUGGGUUUAAAGGGAGCGUAGGUGGAGUGUUAAGCCUGUUGUGAAGGGUUGCGGCUCAACCCUAAAAUUGCAGUGUAAACUGGCAUUCUUGAGGACAGGAGAGGGAGGCGGAAUUCGUGGUGUAGCGGUGAAAUGCUUAGAGAUCACGAAGAACCCCGAUUGCGAAGGCAGCUUACUGGAGUGGAACUGACGCUGAUGCUCGAAAGUGUGGGUAUCAAACAGGAUUAGAUACCCUGGUAGUC
rnacentral:rRNA from 1 species